rnacentral:rRNA from 1 species
GACGAACGCUGGCGGCGUGCUUAACACAUGCAAGUCGAACGAUGAAGCUGGAGCUUGCUCCGGUGGAUUAGUGGCGAACGGGUGAGUAACACGUGAGCAAUCUGCCCUUCACUCUGGGAUAACUGCGGGAAACUGUAGCUAAUACCGGAUACGAGACCUUGGGGCAUCCCAGGGUCUGGAAAGAAUUUCGGUGAAGGAUGAGCUCGCGGCCUAUCAGCUAGUUGGUGAGGUAAUGGCUCACCAAGGCGACGACGGGUAGCCGGCCUGAGAGGGUGACCGGCCACACUGGGAAUGAGACACGGCCCAGACUCCUACGGGAGGCAGCAGUGGGGAAUAUUGCACAAUGGGCGAAAGCCUGAUGCAGCAACGCCGCGUGAGGGAUGAAGGCCUUCGGGUUGUAAACCUCUUUUAGUAGGGAAGAAGCGCAAGUGACGGUACCUACAGAAAAAGCACCGGCUAACUACGUGCCAGCAGCCGCAGUAA